CCAGGAUCCUGGCCCUGAAGGAUUGGACAGAUGCAUGGUGCUGCUGUGGUUUACCUAAUGAAGCAUAGUGCUUUCAUCAUCAGGCACAUCUGUGGACAGCUAGAAGUGUCUUUACAGCCAGCUCCUGGACCUAGCGAUGAGACAUGUCACCUCUAGGCGACAGCACCACUCUCGCCAUGGCACCUGCAUUGGCACCCGCAUUGGCACCCAUUACAAGUCCCUUUGCGCAUGCAUCCCAUACAUCAAGGCCCAGAUAAAAGACCCGAAGACUCUCUUCACAGAGACCGCCUCUGUCAAUAAAACCUCUGAUGGGAGACCUA